CAUGUUCACAUUAAACGCUCUAUGAGGAUUUGGGUUUCAAUUCAGUGCAAAAGAAAAUGCCUCUUCUCCUUCUUCCAUUUUCCUUUGUUUUUGUGUCGCUCCUGAAACUCUAACCAUGACGAUCGAACGAUUAAAUUGUUAGUUCUAAAAUGAUUUUAAACCCACAACAUUCCCCCCUAAGAGAUGUUUUUUGGUUUGGGAAUUAUUCGCGGUUAAAUCAAAGGAUGUUGAUUAUGGACUUUUGAUAAACUGUACCUUUAAUAUACUGAUCGCUGUGAACCCUGUUAGAGGAUCCCGACAAUGCUUGGCUUAAUGGAGAACUUUUGCAGGUUGAUGGUCAAGAAGUUAUAGCACAUCUAGGAAGCAGGUAAGGCUUACAGUGGGUCUAGCACCAGGACCUGCCAUAUAGUUGUUACUACCGCUACCACUUGCUGGCACAAGAUCCUCAGAGAGAGCUCCUAUUACCACUUAUUGGCCACAAGUAACUUGCUGAUAGCUGCUACUAUCACUACCACUGACUGGCAAAACUACCUCAGAAAACCUUUCUAUGCACGUAAUGGACACCAUAUUUAUGACUGGAUAUUGUGAACCUUGGGAACUGAAUCACAAAGCUCAGACACAACAGGCAUGCGUCAUGUGGAUGUGGUUAUGUUCCCACUUAAUUUGCAUGUACGCGACUAAUAGUAAAAAAUGAAGAUGACAAAGAAUGUAAGCAAUAUUGAAUAUUGAAAGUAAAUUGUAUAUACUCAGACUCCUAGCUUUUCCUUUAACCAUGAGCUAUGCGGUCUAUUUUGUCAAUUAUGAUCCGUGUUUUUUGACGAAGGGAAUUGGUAUGUGGAACAAAUUGUUCGGGAAAGGUAGCCUUUACUCUC